rnacentral:rRNA from 1 species
UACGGAGGAGGCAAGCGUUAUCCGGAAUUAUUGGGCGUAAAGCGUCCGUAGAUGGUCGUUUCAAGUCUGCUGUCAAAGACCGGGGCUUAACCCCAGAAAGGCGGUGGAAACUGAACAGCUAGAGAGAGGUAGGGGUAGAGGGAAUUCCCAGUGUAGCGGUGAAAUGCGUAGAUAUUGGGAAGAACAUCAGUGGCGAAAGCGCUCUACUGGACCUUAUCUGACAUUGAGGGACGAAAGCUAGGGGAGCGAAAGGG